rnacentral:lncRNA from 1 species
GCGGCGCCGUGGGCUGGAGGCCGGCGUCGGGGCAGGUCCCGCUCCGGGAUUCCGCACGAGGUGUUGACGGGGCCGCUUCUGCCCGUCUCUGCUCAGCGCCCACCGAGCCUGCGCCGCCCGGGCCGCUCGUUCCAGACGCUUCUGCGGCGCCAGGUAGACAACGGGCUGGCAGCAGCUAGAGGUCUCGAGCGUCGGAAGGUCCAGCCCGUGUGCAAGUGGGUCGCGAGCGCCUAGAAGGUCAAGGACCAAGCGACGCGCGCUCCAUGGUUACCAGUGAGCCCCCUAGGAGACUGGACCCCAUGGCUUCCUGGAAGAGCCCCUGGUGGCUGCUGAUAUGGAUGGUUUUCACACACUCUGCCCUCCUGCAG